CCGCCGAUAACGUCGAUCUGGUCGAGAUCGAGAUCGAGGCCGAGGAAGAGGAAGACUGUGGGGCGCUCGGUGUCGUCGACAGAGGCCUACCGUCAUUCUGCAAAUCAUCCGGUCUGAAUCGGACUGCGUGGUUCGUCGGAGGAACCGAAAGAGAUUCGCAGAGAGACGAUCACCGCCACGGCGAAGCCCAGCCACACCUUCGUCUCAAACAACAUCUUUGACCGUCGUCUUCUUCUUCAACGGCGCCGGCGAGCUCAUAAAGUCUGCCAUGGCGUCUUUUUGGUUUGUAAUGAUACCAUUGUGGUUUUGCCGGAGCUCCGGCGUUGAUAUCUCGGUGACAGAGAGAGGAGAGAGAGAGAGAGAGAAUCUGGUGUGAGAGAGGGAGGAGAGUGGAAAGAGAGUGCUAAUGUUGUAGUUUGAUAAUUAAGCUUAGGGCAAAAUGGUAUUUUCUCAUUAAAUUGUGUAGGUGAGAAUAAAAAUCUCUUGCUGGGGUAAGUGAGAUAAUUUUCUUUUAUUUUGGUGCUUUGGGUUAAGGACCCUACAUUUAAACUAUUUAAUUUUUAUUUAAAAAAUAAUAGAAAUUCAAAAUUAGCUAAAAUAGAGAGAACUGAUACAAACGUGUUUCUAAACUGGAUAACCAAAAUGACUUUUUAACUAUUUUGGCUAAAAUUUAACUUAAAAAUUGCUAGUAUUGCUAAAGAUGCUCUUAUAUUAUUA
rnacentral:lncRNA from 1 species